GCACUUACCUGGCAGGGGAAAUACCGUGAUCGUGAAGGUGGUUUUCCCAGGGCAAGGUUUAUCCAUUACACUCCGGAUAUGCCAAACCCUGUGAUUUUUCCCAAAUUCAGAAAACUUGACUGCAUACUUUGUGGUAGUGGGGGACUGCGUUCAUGCUCUCUCUUG